UGCCUUUAAUAAAAACCUAGAAUAGACGAUAUGAGAAGAAGAGAACACUCCUUUGAGAAAAGAAGGUAUCAGUGCCGUUUACCCAAAAGAGGGAGGACUGCUCUCUACUAUCACUUUUGAACGACACAAAAACAACCCCUCUUCUUCAUCUCCCACUCCUUGCUGAAGAUAAGAAUAUCCCAUAUGUUUUUGUUCCCUCAAAGCAAGCUCUUGGUCGAGCAUGUGGUGUUACCCGACCUGUGAUUGCUGCUUCUGUAACAAGCAACGAAGGAAGUCAAUUGAAAUCACAAAUUCAACAAUUGAAGACCAUUAUUUGGUCUGGAUUUUGGCGUUUCGCUGCUGUCCAAACUGUUGCUGAGCUCCGGUUUUCGAUUUCGGCUUUUAUUCGACUUUUCCCCUUUUCUAAAUUUGAACCUUGUGCAACGAGCUUGAUGCAACACUCACGGGCACAGGCGUUACUUCUGCUGCUUUGGAGCGUCCAUUGCCAUUUGUAUGGGAUGGCAAAUCGUCAAAGCCCCAAAAUUUAGCAGUUUUAACAUCUUCUUAGCCAUCAAUCUUGAAAAUUCUUCAUGAUCGUAAUUCAAUGUAGCUUUCUCCCCAAAUUCUCUUGGAAGAUUCUCAGCAUCGAAAAAUAUCUUCAUCAACUCCGUGCUCUCUUUGUUAUUCGGAUACACAAACUUUAUCUUCGCAAAUGUUUUUGCAUCAAUUAAAUAUUUUACAACCUGCAGAACAAUGAACAGAUUGUAUUGACUUGUCAAAAAAAAGGGGUCUUCCUUAAACUUUUAAUGAA